CGCGUUGUUUCUGUCUAAGAUCUGAUGAUGUUAUUUCUUCCUACAUCUCUUUGUACAACAUUGGGUUAAGUGUGCUCAGCAGCAAAGGGCACCACGUCAUCUAGAAAGAUGCAUUCCGACAGGUGGAAACCUAAUAGCACAGGAGGAUUUUUCCUACCCCAGUGCCCUUCAUCUUGGGAGGAUGACAUCACCAGAUACUGUUAACAAAGACACUGGUGUCCCUAACUUAGCUGCUUCAGCUGCCCGAGACUUGGCUGACUGACUCCAGGGACAGACAACUCCGAAGUCCUGUAUGUUCUUCCUGCCACAUGCCCCUAAGGCCGUGGGUUGCAUUUUGUGAUCUUUCUUUCCCCUAAAAGGUAGCUGUACACUGUCUUCCUUUAAACCACAGUUAAAAAAAUUGUGACAUGUGGGAGGAAGUGUGUUCAGUGACAGGCCUUACCCCUCCCCCAGUUCCUGAUCCCAGGGACCACAGAUCCGGCUUCAGUUCUCACUGAGGAAUUAAGGCCUCCAAAGAAAUUCUAAUUUGCAGUGCCUUUGGCUUGGCUCUUGACUUAAGAAUCCCUAUCUUUGGGACAGGCUUACCUGUUAGGUCCUUUCCCCAUUACACUAUUGGAGUGGCUCUUAUGAGCUCUAAAUUAUGGCCACCAAGUCUGAGAUUAAGUCAAUUUCCCAGAGACUGGAAUGGCAUACAGUAAAGUUUUACUAUUGGCUUCAGAACUGGCUCUUUUUACAUGUAUCUCAGUGACCGUCAAGGGAGAGAGGGUGAGCGUGUGUGUAUGCGUGAGUAUGUCUAAGGGGGAGGUUGACAUUAUAUUCAAUAUAAUACUUUUUGUGUGGUUAAAAAACAAACCUUUUGAUUUCCUUUCGCAAACCCUAGAAAGUAAAAUUUGACCAAAAUCUUCCUGGCCAUUAGGGAUACGCAAAGGUCUCUUCCUUAAUGUGGAGGACAUUCAGAAUGUGGACAGUGAGAUGUUUAUGGUCUAAUUAUUUAUCAGACAGACCAGAGGCUAUAGGCUCAGUCUCCACUGGUCACAGGUUGCUGCUUUAACUCAGUCAUGCUUUGUGUUUCACAUAGUCUUGCAAUGGAAUUAUUCUCAAUGCUGGGUCAUCUGGAACUCAAUAUUUCUCACCAAUAGCCACCACUUUUCUGCUAUAUUGAACAACACAGUCUAUGGCCUGAAUGGCUGUGCUCCCUACCAAAUGUAUAUGUUGAAAUCCUAACCUUCAAAGGCAAAGUUAGUAGGUGGGGCCUUGGGAGGUGAUUAGUUUGUGGGGAUGGGGCCCUUCUGAAUAGGACUAUUGCUCUUAGAAAAGCACAAAGGGGAGUUCCUGCUGUGGUGCAACAGGACCAGUGGCAUCUCUGCAGCACUAGGAUGCAGGCUUGAUGCCUGGCCCGGCACAGCGAGUUAAAGGAUCUGGCACUGCCACAGCUGCAGGGUAGGUCACAAUUUCGGCUUAGAUCUGACUGCUGGCCUGGGAACUCCAUAUGCUGUGUGGCAGCAAAAAAUGAAAAAAAGGAGUUCCCAUGGUGGCUCAGCAGUAACAAACCUGACUAGUAUGCAUGAGGACACAGGUUUGAUCUCUGGCCUUGCUCAAUGGGUUAAGGAUCUGGCAUUGCCAUGAGCUGUGGUGUAUGUCGCAGACGUGGCUUGGAUAUGGCGUUUCUGUGGUUGUGGUAUAGGCCGACGGCUACAGCUCUGAUUCAACCACUAGCCUCGGAAACUCCACAUACUGCAGAUGUGGCCUAAAACACACACACACACACACACACACACACAAAGACAGUGAAGGAAAUACUGUCCUGCACAUUUUUUUUUUUUUUUUUUUUUUUNNNNNNNNNNNNNNNNNNNNNNNNNNNNNNNNNNNGGGCCAAGGACUGAACCUGUUCCACAGCAGUGAUAAUGCUGGAUCUUAACCUGCUAUGCCACAGGAAACUCCCAGUCCUGUACACUCUAGAUGCUAUAAGAACAGCAAAGGAAGAACUGGUUGUCAGAGGAGCAACUAUGAGCAUUCAGCACAGUCUUUGCAGUAGGGCUGUUCACAAGGAAAACAUGAGAUGCUGGAGUUCUGCUCCUUUUAACUCCACCCUCUCCCCCCAGCCCCCACCAAGGUGUCCAAAGGUGAGCAGCAUGAAGAGGGGCAUACAAAUGCACAGGUAAUCCGUCUGCGUUUUCCACAGCUCGCAGUAGUAAAGAUCUAUGACGAAAUUAUCUCACUCUCACAGGAACCCAAGCGCAGUCGCCCCUCUGC
rnacentral:lncRNA from 1 species